rnacentral:rRNA from 1 species
GGGGGGGGGGGGGGGGGGGGGGGGGGGGGGCGGGGCGGGGGGGGGGGGCCUGCGGGGGGGGGGGGGGCGGGGGGGGAACGGGUGAGGAACCCGUGGGUGACCUGCCCUUGACUUUUGCGUACCUUCAGGGCGCUGGGGCGAAUACCGGCUACGCGCUCCUCCUGCAUGGUGGCGGUUUGAAAGAUGCGGCGGUUGGGGAUGGCCUCGCGGCUUAUCAGCGUGUUGGUGGGGUAGUGGCUUACCAAGGCUUUGCCGGUUCGCCGGCCUGAGAGGGUGACCGGCCACAUGGGGACUGAGAUACGGCCCAGCCUCCUACGGGAGGCAGCAGUGGGGAAUAUUGCACAAUGGGCGGAAGCCUGAUGCAGCAACGCCGCGUGCGGGAUGACGGCCUUCGGGUUGUAAACCGCUUUCGCCUGUGACGAAGCGUGAGUGACGGUAAUGGGUAAAGAAGCACCGGCUAACUACGUG